GCCUACAACCAUAUCACCCUGAAUGCGCCCGAUCUCGUCUGAUCUCGGAAGCUAAGCAUGGUCGAGCCUGGUUAGUAUUUGGAUGGGAGACUGCCUGGGAAUACCAGGUGUUGUAGGCU
ensembl:rRNA 5S_rRNA 5S ribosomal RNA